rnacentral:rRNA from 1 species
AUUGAACGCUGGCGGCAUGCCUUACACAUGCAAGUCGAACGGCAGCACGGGAGCAAUCCUGGUGGCGAGUGGCGAACGGGUGAGUAAUAUAUCGGAACGUGCCCAGUCGUGGGGGAUAACGCAGCGAAAGCUGUGCUAAUACCGCAUACGAUCUAUGGAUGAAAGCGGGGGAUCGCAAGACCUCGCGCGAUUGGAGCGGCCGAUAUCAGAUUAGGUAGUUGGUGGGGUAAAGGCCCACCAAGCCGACGAUCUGUAGCUGGUCUGAGAGGACGACCAGCCACACUGGAACUGAGACACGGUCCAGACUCCUACGGGAGGCAGCAGU